UACGGAGGAUCCAAGCGUUAUCCGGAUUUAUUGGGUUUAAAGGGUGCGUAGGCGGCUUUUUAAGUCAGGGGUGAAAGACGGUAGCUUAACUAUCGCAGUGCCCUUGAUACUGAAGAGCUUGAAUAUACUUGAGGUAGGCGGAAUGUGACAAGUAGCGGUGAAAUGCAUAGAUAUGUCACAGAACACCAAUUGCGAAGGCAGCUUACUAAGGUAUGAUUGACGCUGAGGCACGAAAGCGCGGGGAUCAAACAGG
rnacentral:rRNA from 1 species